GUAGGUAGAAGACUGCUGACACGUUUGGGUUCAGUUUUUUAUUUUUUCCAAUAGUAUGCAUAUCUGGUGUCCCAGUGUGAGGUAAACCCAGAAAAGCAUGAAAAGCAACCAGUUCUGCAUGAGAGAAAAGAAAGGUGAUGAAGUGCAGGAAAUGGCAAAUGAAAAAGUAAAACAUUCUUCCAUUUUCACAGAAUUCCCAUAGAACAAUGGUCAUGGAGCACACCCUACAUGUUAAUGGAGGAAGUUUCUACAGUCAUCAAAAAGGAAGAGGAAGUUACAUACCUGCAACUGGUGGUGAUUUGAGAGGUGGAUCCAUGUAGUUUCAAAGGAAAUGUAUCAUCUAGUCUGGUCUUUUUAAUUCUCUUUCUCAGUAACUGGGAUGGUGGGAGUGGACAUCUUAAAGAAAUGAGAUUACAGUGAAACUUACUUCCAUCAAUGAGGCAAUGAUUCAGAUGAUUCAGUAAACUGCUUAAGAAUGCACCUAAUUUUAAGCAUAAGCCGAUGACAGACAAAUGAAGAAAGAGUUUCAGUAGCUUACGGAUAUCUGAUCAAAAAGAUUUCACAUGUAGAAAAUCCAACAUUAAAAACGUCUUUGCCUUAUAAAUAUGUAAUAUCCCUAACAACAGCACAUAAAAAAAAAGAAUUAGUGAUUUAAGUGGUCAAGUUAUAAAACAUAGUGAGGGCUAACUUGGUCAUUUUCCAAGAGUUUAUAAACCAAAAACUGUGAGAGCUCAGAGUCAGAUGUAACUGUUUCCCUUUUAACCUGACCAUUUGAACAGCUGCCAUCCCUUUGUAACAUAGCUGGCUUUUGGGUAACAUAUCUUUUUAUGUCUGGCAACUUUUCUAAUUUUCCUGUUUUAUGUUAUAUGACACAGAAUGUACUUCUUUUCUC